UGGGGAAUCUUAGACAAUGGGGGCAACCCUGAUCUAGCCAUGCCGCGUGAGUGACGAAGGCCUUAGGGUCGUAAAGCUCUUUCGCCAGGGAAGAUAAUGACGGUACCUGGUAAAGAAGUCCCGGCUAACUCCGUGCCAGCAGCCGCGGUAAUACGGAGGGGACUAGCGUUGUCCGGACUCACUGGGCGUAAAGGGCGCGCAGGCGGGACGGCGCGUCGGCGCUGAAAGCGCCCGGCUUAACCGGGCGCGGCGCGGCGAUACGACCGACCUGGAGGCAGGCAGAGGGUGGCGGAAUUCCGGGUGUAGUGGUGAAAUGCGUAGAGAUCCGGAGGAACGCCUGUGGCGCAAGCGGCCGCCUGGGCCUGACCUGACGCUGAGGCGCGAAAGCGUGGGGAGCGAACCGGAUUAGAUACCCGCGUAGUCC
rnacentral:rRNA from 1 species